UACGUAGGGUGCAAGCGUUAAUCGGAAUUACUGGGCGUAAAGCGUGCGCAGGCGGUGAUGUAAGACAGAUGUGAAAUCCCCGGGCUCAACCUGGGAACUGCAUUUGUGACUGCAUCGCUGGAGUGCGGCAGAGGGGGAUGGAAUUCCGCGUGUAGCAGUGAAAUGCGUAGAUAUGCGGAGGAACACCGAUGGCGAAGGCAAUCCCCUGGGCCUGCACUGACGCUCAUGCACGAAAGCGUGGGGAGCAAACAAGG
rnacentral:rRNA from 1 species